GUCUUGUAUGUACUCCCACCUCCCAUUUCUGUAGAAUCUUUUCAUAAUAUUUAUCACUUGAUUGCAUACUUUGGUUGUGUUCG
rnacentral:sRNA from 1 species